rnacentral:misc_RNA from 1 species
GACAUUUGGGAUUCAUGUACACUGACAUUAACUCAGCCGAUUAGCUGCCUUUUUGCAUUAGAAGGAAAACUCUGUUGGCACAGAAUUACAACAUUGUAUUGCCAGAUACUUGAAGAGUCUUUUCUGAGAACAUCCAGCAUCCAGAAGUGGAUUCUACCUACAGAUCAGAUGGAUCAAUUAUAUUUAGAAUCAUUCUCCAAUUUCUGAGGAAAUCUUGGCCUUGAAAUCUAA